rnacentral:rRNA from 1 species
UACGUAGGAGACAAGCGUUGUCCGGAAUCAUUGGGCGUAAAGCGCACGUAGGCGGUUCGUUAUGUCGGAUGUGAAAGCCCUCGGCUUAACCGGGGAAGUGCAUCCGAAACUGGCGAGCUUGAGUACCAAAGAGGGUCGCGGAAUUCCCGGUGUAGCGGUGAAAUGCGCAGAUAUCGGGAGGAACACCGGUGGCGAAGGCGGUUCUCUGGGCCUUACCUGACGCUGAGGAGCGAAAGCGUGGGGAGCGAACAGG